GAGUUUGAUCUUGGCUCAGAUUGAACGCUGGCGGCAUGCUUUACACAUGCAAGUCGAACGGCAGCGCGGGCUCCGGCCUGGCGGCGAGUGGCGAACGGGUGAGUAAUAUAUCGGAACGUACCCAAGAGUGGGGGAUAACGUAGCGAAAGUUACGCUAAUACCGCAUACGAUCUAAGGAUGAAAGCAGGGGAUCGCAAGACCUUGUGCUCCUGGAGCGGCCGAUAUCUGAUUAGCUAGUUGGUGAGGUAAAGGCUCACCAAGGCAACGAUCAGUAGCUGGUCUGAGAGGACGACCAGCCACACUGGAACUGAGACACGGUCCAGACUCCUACGGGAGGCAGUAGUGGGGAAUUUUGGACAAUGGGGGCAACCCUGAUCCAGCAAUGCCGCGUGAGUGAAGAAGGCCUC
rnacentral:rRNA from 1 species